GGGAUUGCAGUGGCAAAGCUAGGCUAGGUCUUGGAGGCUGGUGUAAGGCGAUGUGGGUGAAGGCAGGAGGCUGAUGGAAAGACUGGGGGGAAGAAAAGCCGAAAUGGAUUCACGGUGCCUUGGAUGAAGGACGAGAGGGGAACUGCAAGCUCCUUCAACUGGUUCUGUCCGGUGAGAAGUGAUCAAGCUUGGGCUGACAAGAGGCUCAGGGAGCCCUCACGUUCUUUCGCUUUUUUACCUGCCAAUCAAACUGCUACAAGACAACACCCUGAUCUGGCAUGGACAUCGCGGGUCCAAGCCUGUAGCCCCAAAUCGGAUAAUCUCUGCAGCUGAUAACAAGCAAAAGAGAAGCCAGGCAACAGCCAUAUUAAAGAAGAAAACAAUCAACUCUGAGUCUCAAUACCUUCACAGAGGUGAAGAAGCAGCAACCAAAUGAAUUAGACAGCAACAUGAUUCCUAGAGAAUGGCAAGACCAAUUCUUCAACUACUUCUUCAGCAUUUCUGAAACAUAUGGAAGAUGGCCCAUUGUGCUCUCUUAAUUCUUUGAUAAUCUGGACAUUGACUUUUCCAUUAUAUGACCUGGGCUUGUGGGCAUCAUGUCAUAAUGCACCUGUUCAGACAUCUCCCUGUACCAAUAUGGAUCACUUGAAGAGACUCCUUUGCCCCCAUCAAAAAGGAUACAGUUGUGUAUCUCUUCCAUUUUUGUUUACAGUGCCUAAAAUUAUUUGAGCAGUUUUUCACCUCUUCUCUGAUAAACACCUUAUUAGUCCUUAAAAAGAAAAGAAAAAAGGAAAAUAAAACUUUUAUUGAGAUCCUAA
rnacentral:lncRNA from 1 species